CAAUAGCGUAUAUUAAAGUUGUUGCAGUUAAAAAGCUCGUAGUUGGAUUUCUGGUGGGAGCGAUCGGUCUGGCGCUUAGCGCGAGUACUUGCAUCGUCUCCGGCCAUCCUUGGGGAGAGUCUGUCUGGCAUUAGGUUGUCGGGCAGAGGAUCCUCAUCGUUUACUGUGAAAAAAUUAGAGUGUUCAAAGCAGGCUUAUGCCGUUGAAUACAUUAGCAUGGAAUAAUAAGAUAGGACUUUGGCACUAUUUUGUUGGUUUGCGCACCAAAGUAAUGAUUAAUAGGGACAGUUGGGGGUAUUCGUAUUCCGUUGUCAGAGGUGAAAUUCUUGGAUUUACGGAAGACGAACUACUGCGAAAGCAUUUACCAAGGAUGUUUNCAUUAA
rnacentral:rRNA from 1 species